UACGAAGGGUGCAAGCGUUACUCGGAAUUACUGGGCGUAAAGCGUGCGUAGGCGGUUUGUUAAGUCCGUUGGUGAAAGCCCUGGGCUCAACCUGGGAAUUGCAGUGGAUACUGGCAGCUAGAGUACGGUAGAGGAUGGUGGAAUUCCCGGUGUAGCGGUGAAAUGCGUAGAGAUCGGGAGGAACACCCGUGGCGAAGGCGG
rnacentral:rRNA from 1 species